rnacentral:lncRNA from 1 species
AACCCACAUUCAUACAACAAAAUUUACUCAACAUUUUAUAUAAUUAUCUCAUUUAAUCCUCAAAAUAGGUUUUCUGAAGUAGGUGCUAUUAUUAUCUCUAUUUUACAAACAAAGAAACUGAGGCUCAGAAGAGAUUAAUUGAUGCUUCCCAUGGUCAAACUGCAAGAAAAUAUCUAAGGCUUCUCUGGCAAUUCCUUUCCACCAAAGAGAAGAAAGACGUGAUGAAG